rnacentral:rRNA from 1 species
UACAGAGGUCUCAAGCGUUGUUCGGAUUCAUUGGGCGUAAAGGGCGCGUAGGCGGUGGGGUAAGUCUGGUGUGAAAUCUCGGAGCUCAACUUCGAAAUUGCACUGGAUACUGCUCUGCUAGAGGGCUGGAGAGGAGAUCGGAAUUCACGGUGUAGCAGUGAAAUGCGUAGAUAUCGUGAGGAAGACCAGUGGCGAAGGCGGAUCUCUGGACAGUUACUGACACUGAGGCACGAAGGCCAGGGGAGCAAACGGG